rnacentral:rRNA from 1 species
UCAAGGUGAGAGAUACGGAGGUAGAGCACUGAAUGUCCUAGGGGGUAUUGCACCUACCGAAGACUAUCAAACUCCGAAUGCCGUCAUCUUAUACUUGGGAGUCAGACUGUGGGUGAUAAGAUUCAUAGUCGAAAGGGCAACAGCCCAGAUCGUCAGCUAAGGUCCCUAAAUGUAAGUUAAGUGGUAAAGGAUGUGGGAUUGCACAGACAACCAGGAUGUUGGCUUAGAAGCAGCCACUCAUUCAAAGAGUGCGUAAUAGCUCACUGGUCGAGUGAUCCUGCGCCGAAGAUUUCCGGGGCUAAAACUUACUACCGAAGCUACGGCAUCAGUAAUGAUGGGUAGGGGAGCUUCCCAUACGGGUUGAAGCAUGACCGUAAGGACAUGUGGACAGUAUGGGAGUGAGAAUGUUGGCAUGAGUAGCGAGAUGUGGGUGAGAAUCCCACAGGCCGUAAACCCAAGGUUUCCAGGGGAAGGUUCGUCCGCCCUGGGUUAGUCGGGACCUAAGCUGAGGCCGAAAGGCGUAGGUGAUGGACAACAGGUUGAUAUUCCUGUACUACCGAUAACCGUUUGAGAGAAGGGAUGACACAGUAGGAUAAGCUAAGCACACUGUUGGUUAUGUGUGCCCAAGCAUUGAGGCAGUCAAAGUAGGCAAAUCCGCUUUGAUAAUGCUGGGAUGUGAUGGGGAGCGAAAUUUAGUAGCGAAGUAGCUGAUUUCACACUGUCAAGAAAAGUCUCUAUCGAGGUUAAAGGUACCCGUACCGCAAACCGACACAGGUGGGUGAGGAGAGUAUCCUAAGGCCAGCGAGAGAACUGUUGUUAAGGAACUCGGCAAAAUGACCCCGUAACUUAGGGAUAAGGGGUGCCACCAUCAGGUGGCCGCAGAGAAUAGGCCCAAGCGACUGUUUACCAAAAACAUAGGUUUCUGCUAAGUCGCAAGACGAUGUAUAGGAGCUGACGCCUGCCCGGUGCUGGAAGGUUAAGGGGAUCUGUUAGAGCAAUCGAAGCAGUGAACUUAAGCCCCAGUAAACGGCGGCCGUAACUAUAACGGUCCUAAGGUAGCGAAAUUCCUUGUCGGGUAAGUUCCGACCCGCACGAAAGGCGUAACGAUUUGGGCACUGUCUCAACAACAGACUCGGUGAAAUUGUAAUUCCGGUGAAGAUGCCGGAUACCUGCGACAGGACGGAAAGACCCCAUGGAGCUUUACUGUAGCUUGACAUUGGGUCUUGGUACUACAUGUACAGGAUAGGUGGGAGGCUUUGAAACCAGGACGCCAGUUUUGGCGGAGCCAUCCUUGGGAUACCACCCUUGUAGUACUGGGACUCUAACCAUAGGCCAUGAAUCUGGUCUUGGGACACUGUCAGGUGGGCAGUUUGACUGGGGCGGUCGCCUCCCAAAAGGUAACGGAGGCGCUCAAAGGUUCUCUCAGUACGGUCGGAAAUCGUACGUAGAGUGUAAAGGCAAAAGAGAGCUUGAUUGCAAGACAUACAGGUCGAGCAAGGAUGAAAAUCGGACUUAGUGAUCCGGUGGUUCUGCGUGGAAGGGCCAUCGCUCAACGGAUAAAAGCUACCCUGGGGAUAACAGGCUUAUCUCCCCCAAGAGUCCACAUCGACGGGGAGGUUUGGCACCUCGAUGUCG